rnacentral:rRNA from 1 species
CAGCAGCCGCGGGAAUACGGAGGGUGCAAGCGUUACUCGGAAUUACUGGGCGUAAAGCGUGCGUAGGUGGUGGUUUAAGUCCGUUGUGAAAGCCCUGGGCUCAACCUGGGAAUUGCAGUGGAUACUGGGUCACUAGAGUGUGGUAGAGGAUAGUGGAAUUUCCGGUGUAGCAGUGAAAUGCGUAGAGAUCGGAAGGAACAUCUGUGGCGAAGGCGACUAUCUGGGCCAACACUGACACUGAGGCACGAAAGCGUGGGGAGCAAACAGGAUUAGAUACCCCCGUAGUCCCUGUCUCUUAUAC